ACCUUCACACCCCGCUUCUGCAGUUCCCAGAACAGUUUGGCGAUCUACAGUGGGACACUGGAGACUGCAAUGCAAGGAUAGGGAAAAAGCGGCCCUCCCACUCUUGUUAGACUACAGUUUCCAUCACCCUGACUUAUCAUGCUGGCUGGAGCUGUGGGAGCCCAACAUCGAGAUAGCUGUGCAUACUUUUGUGUUCUAGAUGGACCCUGGCUUCAUUGAUCAGGGAUAUUUUUAUAUUUUGUUUUUUAGUUAUAUUGAAAGUUGCAAGAAGAAGAAGCAGAAGCAGAAGCAGAAGAAGAAGAAGAAGAAGAAGAAGAAGAAGAAGAAGAAGAAGAGUUUGGAUUUGAUAUCCCGCUUUAUCACUCCCCUUCAGGAGUCUCAAAGCGGCUAACAUUCUCCUUUCCCUUCCUCCCCCACAACAAACAGUGGGGCUGAGAGACUUCAGAGAAGUGUGACUGGCCCAAGGUCACCCAGCAGCUGCAUGUGGAGGAGCGGAGACGCGAACCCGGUUCCCCAGAUUACGAGUCUACCGCUCUUAACCACUACACCACACUGGCUCUCAGCCGUGUGAGGAAUGGUUGAGGGUGUUGGAUAUGCUUUGCUUGGAGAAGAGAAGGAUGAGCAGUGAUAUGAUGGUCAUCUUCAAAUACUUGAAGGGCUGUCACCUCGAAGAUGUCCAAGCUUGCUUUCUGUUGCUCAGAGGGUGGGAUUCAAUGGAUUCAAAUGACAAGAAAGGAGAUUCUGACUAAACAUGGUAAGAGUUGUUCAAAGGUGGAAUGGAUUCCCAUGGAAGGUGGUGGACUUUCCUUCCUUGGAGGUUUCUAAGUAGAGGUUGCAUGGCCACCUCUCAGGGAUUCUUCCUCAGCUGAGAUUCCUGCAUUGCAGGGGGUCGGACUAUAUGGCCCUGGGGGCCUCUUCCAACUCUAUAAUAAUCCUAUCCUCAGUUCCCUGGGAAUGAGCCCCACUGAACUUGGUGGGAUUUAUUUUUUAGUAGGCAUGAAUAUGAUAUCACUGGAUCACAUUUUUUGGCUUGAGUAUUUAUAAACUGAGAAUCAUAGAUUUGGGAGGGAGGGACCUCAAGUGUGCAGCCCCUGUCAGUGCAGGGAAUCCACACUACAAUAUCCCUCACGGGUGGCCCCCCAGCCUCUGCUUAAAACCUAUAAUGAAGGAAAGCCCCCACCUUCCAGGGGGUCUGUUCUACUGUCAACCAAGUGGACCAUCUGGAAAUUCUUCCUAAUAUUCAGUUUAAAUCCUUUUUAUUGUAAUUUGAGCCUACUGAUUUGGGUCCUACCCUUUGGAGUGACAGAAAAUAAAUUCUUCACAGUGUGAAGUAGUUUAAAUGUUUUGCACCAUCUUUGCUGUAAUUAAAAUUCAUCUACGGUAUAUGUAGAAAAGACAGACCAAAAAACAAAACAAACCUCAAAAAAUUAAGUCAAUUUCACUGUCCAGUACGUACCAAAGGAAACUGCAGCAAAAUGGAGGCCGUGUUUGAGGUUCUUGGGUACAAAAGGUGACCUGACAAAAAGAUGUUUAGCUAUGAUCAGUGCUUUUUUUCUUAAAAAAUGUUGAGGGGUACUCUCCUUUUUACUUAAGAAAAUCACCAUUUUAUAGUUCAAAUCGAGGGGAAAUAAAUAUAGUAAAUGAACAAAAGUACAAAGCGUCACAAAGUGUUGAGGGGUAUGCAUCCCCCCAGAAAAAAACAUUGGCUGUGAUUAUUGAUUUUCAGAAGGAUCCAGCUACGUGUUGCUGUGAUGUACUGCUAUUUAGGGCAGCGGCAUCUUUGUGGAAUUAGAAGGACAUGGGAGACAGGACAAAAUGCUUCCAACUAAAGGCAUAAAGCUGUUAAUAAUUCACUAAGGGAGUAAGGCAAGGUGUGUUUCCCUAGGCGGGAAAGCCACAGACGUGAAGAGUGGGUAAGGACACUUGUUUCAGAGCAACCCACAUCAGCACAAAUCCACUGAAGGUACAUGGCAGGGCAGGGCCAGAUUUAAGGUGGUGCAGGACUUCCGAGCCAAGGGGACUCAUAACAACAACAACAACAACAACAUAAUACUACCUAAAGGGUAUAUUUAUGGAGGUGUCUACUCAAAGCUUGGGGGUUCCAGAUUUUGCCCUCAUUCAGGACACCAUAUUACCAAAGUCCGCCACUGGGCAGGAGAUUAAUACUUUAUUCAGAAUAAUGGGCUAAAUCGUGUUCCCAAGCCCCACCCCAAUGUUAUAUGAUUGGCAGGUGGGUGGCUUCACCCACUGGUGGAGGAAGAGGAGUGGGGGGGGAGCGCACGGCCCCCGGCAGCGCGAUCCCAGUAGGGUGCCAUCGCAGCUGCCUCCCCGUCCACGCUGGGUGCCCUGCCCCCAAGACACACGCCAGCCCCUCUUGACCUGCAAGAGAUGGGGGUGCUAAUCAUGUGAUCCUCUCGGCAGACCAAUAGUGUGGCCUAGUAUAAUGCAGCUGGUUUCAUGAAAAUAUAUAAUCAUUUGUCAUAACACCUAGAAAAAGGAAACCAAGGGUCAAGAAUCUCCAAGUUGUGCACACAGGGAAAGUUCUAGACGUUUGACCUAAUAAAUUACAGUAAUGGUAAAGAAUAGAGCUGAAAAAACUUUCAAUGGAUAUGCUAAUUUAUGCCAAUUAAGAUUGCAGCAGGCCAUUAGAUCCACUUGGUGAUAAAAAAUAGUGCCAUAAAUCUGGAACAACACAGCCGAUUCAGGAAAUGGUUGGCUCCACAAAUAAAGCUUGAUUGCUGAAUGCAAUUUGAUGGGCAGCACUAUAACACAUUUUUUUGCUGUUGGAAGAAAAUACAUUGCUUCAUCUAAUUCUUUGUCUUGAGCACACAUUGUAAAACGAAAGACAAAGGCAUGUAAUAUUCUUUGCAAAUUGCCUGUGUGCAAUAUAGGAUUUUGGUGUAUAUGAAGCAGGGACCCUGCAAUGAAGAAAACCGUCAAAUAAAUCAAGUGCCAGGGGUUUAUUGCAGAGCUUUCUAAUCAAUAUCUCAAGCCAGUGCAUAAUAGAUGGAGAGGAAAGUACUAUAUAAGCAGAUUCCUGCAUUAUAUCCACUCACUCACACAACCUGAAUGCCAUUUUUUUAAAAGAGAAAAUCAAAGGUUAUUAAUUUUAUGGAAUGAUGUGUUUGAAAACUGUUGGUCUAAUUAUGAAUAACACUAAUUACAUAUAAAAGCCAUAUUUAUGUAUAUGAAACCAUUCUAUUGUUAAAUACUUCUAUAAGGCAGAAGAUUUCACUACAGUCCUAUUGCAGUUACCUGAGAAGAAGCAAAUAGGCCUUGUGCUGUUGAUUCUUCUUUUACUAUUCAAAUCUACUUAAGUCCUGCCCAUAUUUUGGUGACUUGACUCUCAACAGGAUUCAUGAUUCGCGUCGCAUACAAGCCAGAUAUUUGCAUCCUGUUCUGGUAGUCAGAGGCUCUGGACUUGCAUCUAUUUUAUGGGAAGCAGAGUUUACAUCCAAGGGAAAAAGGAGGCUGUCAAUGUCCCAAGGUGAGGCUGAACUACUGUGGAACAGCCUGGCACAGUGGUCCUUGGUGCAUAAUAUCUAUCUGUAUUUACAUACUAUUAUUCAUACACUUAUUGGUCAACAUGUUGUGCGGAAUUGCUGUUGCGUCAUGGCUUCUUUCUCUCCUUCCCACGAGAGGAUCUGGAGAAGUUACACCUCAAUCAUUUGCAGUGAGCUCAGCGCUUUGACCACCUACAAAUGCACGUUUUCACACAACCCAAAUAAUGCAUUUGAAUCUCUCCCACCCUAUUUAUCUUUGCGCUGUAUUCAGGGGAUGUUUAUUUGUCUCGGAAGGCGCAGAAUGGUGUCCAGGCACCUGCCACCUGCCACGGAUUCUGUAGCUGCCGUCCCUCCAUUACCGAGGCAACUGUCUAUAAACAAUAAACUUCCAUAAAAAAUGGC